rnacentral:tRNA from 1 species
UCCCUGGUGGUCCAGUGGCUAAGACUCAGUGCUCCCAAUGCAGGGGGCCCUAGGUUCGAUCCCUGGUCAGGGAA